UCUAGGGUGCGGAGAAGGGAGGGUGUUUUGGUCUUUUGCCAUUCAUAUCCAAAAUUAGCUCUUAUUAUUUGGGUUUGGAGGGAUAAUGAAUUAGAGUUUAAUUGGGCAUUGGCUAAUUUUUAGCCCACCUUUAGCCUUCCAUUUGGGUCAUGACGGGUUAAUUUUUAGCUGACUAAAGUUUAGCAUCCUGGAUCAAAAUAGGGUCUAGUUCAAAGUCAAUGAAACGAAUGAUAAAGGCUGACAUUAUCUAGAACCGCGUCACAUUCUUGACAAGAAAAUGUUUUUUGUUACUAGUUCUGCAGAUGUUCAAUUUUUUUUUCCUGAUGGUAUAGAUUAUCUCUUGACAAACUACAUUCAUGUAGUGUGUACUUACACAAGGGUGUAAAGCCGGACCUAAAUGUUCACGUAC
rnacentral:lncRNA from 1 species